rnacentral:rRNA from 1 species
GAUGAACGCUGGCGGCGUGCUUAAUACAUGCAAGUCGAGCGAACGGACGAGAAGCUUGCUUCUCUGAUGUUAGCGGCGGACGGGUGAGUAACACGUGGAUAACCUACCUAUAAGACUGGGAUAACUUCGGGAAACCGUAGCUAAUACCGGAUAAUAUUUUGAACCGCAUGGUUCAAAAGUGAAAGACGGUCUUGCUGUCACUUAUAGAUGGAUCCGCGCUGCAUUAGCUAGUUGGUAAGGUAACGGCUUACCAAGGCAACGAUGCAUAGCCGACCUGAGAGGGUGAUCGGCCACACUGGAACUGAGACACGGUCCAGACUCCUACGGGAGGCAGCAGUAGGGAAUCUUCCGCAAUGGGCGAAAGCCUGACGGAGCAACGCCGCGUGAGUGAUGAAGGUCUUCGGAUCGUAAAGCUCUGUUAUUAGGGAAGAACAUAUGUGUAAGUAGCUGUGCACAUCUUGACGGUACCUAAUCAGAAAGCCACGGCUAACUACGUG